ACGAGUAUAUAUAAAACAAAGCUUGUGGUAAAUCUAUAAAAAAAAAUGGAAGGCUAAGUCGUUCCAUCUUAAGCAUAUUAUCCGAGGAACUUGUUCUGUCCCACAACUUGGAGGGGGGCAAAACAAGAAGAGGCUCAGACUACCCAAAUUUCGCCCGUGCCUUAUUAAAUGCAAUCGCCCUGGUGGAUCCCUCGGAGCCUCCCGAAAAGGCGC